rnacentral:rRNA from 1 species
AGAGUUUGAUCCUGGCUCAGAUUGAACGCUGGCGGCAUGCCUUACACAUGCAAGUCGAACGGCAGCACGGGUGCUUGCACCUGGUGGCGAGUGGCGAACGGGUGAGUAAUACAUCGGAACGUGUCCUGUAGUGGGGGAUAGCCCGGCGAAAGCCGGAUUAAUACCGCAUACGAUCUAGGAGUGAAAGCGGGGAAUCGGUU